UUCUGCUUGUCAUGGGAAUUCCAACCCAGGUCGGGGGUGAGAAUGAAGGAAGAGGAUACCUGGCAAUGAAGAUUGAACUACGUAGCUGGUCCUGCUCAUUUCAUGCCUGCUGCCUCUCCAGGUGCCUUCUCUAGAGUGGGGACUCAAUAGGAAACAUAAGAACUUGACUCUAAUUAAAGUGCUUUUAUACUAUCAUCCAUGUCCAGCAGUGAGUCAUGAAAUUAUAGAGUUGUGGUCAACAUUUUUUAAAAGUAGGAUAGCAUAGUGCUGAAAAUGAAGUACCAGGAUUCCACAGUAUAAAGAAAGUGCAAUGACUGUCUUCAGAAUUUCACCUGAAUGUGGAAGCCUUCUCCAGUCUCUUGGAUGAGAUUUACCAGCAUCACUAACCAUCUUCCCAUAUACUAUAAUAUUCCAGAAGAGAGAACAGGAGAGUUUGGUGGGCCAUGUGUCCCAGUCCCAGUGAAGGGUGAGAUGGGCUGUAUUGCUGGUGGGGAACAACAAUGUUCUCUGAAGGAGGAUACAGAGUCUGGGAGUUGAGUGUGUAAAUGAUGUGGAGGUAAGGGUGGAAGGUAUGUCACAGAAUCCCACACAGGAAAGGUGAAGAGAUCAACAUGAACUGUCUUCCUUUUCUUGAAAAGGAGUGGCUUGGCUGUUAUCAGGACUAGGGAUAUGCACACUCUAAUUCUGGUAUAUGCUGGAUUCUCUCUGUCACGCAAAUUAGUAGUGGUGAAGGACAUUAGGAGACUGCAGCAUGGAACAUCUGCAGAAAUGUGCAUAGUGCAAACUGAAUCCCUGGGGCUGGAAUGUUCUUUCUCCUAUUCUCACACCACCUGUCUUUUUAGUUGGCUAAGUUCUGUUCAUGUUUUUGGUAUUGGUUUAGAUAACAACUUCCUCAGAGGAGCCUGAAGUGACACUCUAUUAUGCUCCUUUGUUGUUCUCUCUUGCAGCACCCCAGCCUUUCCUGUUUCACACCAUAAUACACAUAUACAUGGUAUGCUCAGACGCAUGUGUUGGAGUGUGUUUAACAGUGUUUAAAAUGUUUUUUUCUUUUUGCCUCAAUGGAAAGCUCUAGGAGGUUAGAGGUCAUGGUUAUCACUAAUUUAGUACACUGGUAGGGGCCUAAUACAUAUCGCUACACUGAGAAUGAUCAACACAUGUUGAAAAUGGUUAUGAAGCUCUGACUCAUUCAUGUGUUCCCUUGUACAAUUGCUGCAGAUCUCUCCAUACUGACAUGUGCCACAUAUAGUUUACUCUUCUGUCCACAUGUCUGCCUCUCUUAGCUGAACAGUGAGUGAGAUCUUCAAGGGCAAUUCUCCAUGGCAUAUAUUUAGAAAAUUCAACAUCUAAUAUAAUAAUGGUUGUUAUAGGACAUGGUGUACAUCAUGGUUUAUGGAACUGAAACUUGAGUCUCCUUUUGGGUUAGCAGCAGAGCGAAUGGAGAGGAGGAAUUGUUUUGAACAUGGUAAAGCAAAACAUUGAAUUUGUAUAACCAUAUCCCCAGAUUUUAAUAAUUUCAAAGUAAAGGAAUCCAGGCAAUAGUGAGGGGCAAUAAAGUCAUCCUUUCUAUGCAUUUACACAAAAUAAUUCAAUGUGUCCAUACAACAAUAAUACAUGGCCUGUGUAUCUUGGAGAUGUAAGCAUAGUGCAAACACUGUGUCAUAUCUCAUGAGAUGGCCCUGCCAACUUUUUGUAGGAAACCACUAUUGACUGAGAUACCCAAGCUUCUUUUAAUUUUUGGAUAUAAACUAAUGAAAAUGGCUUCAAUCUCUAAUUACAGUUUUGCGACAUGCUUGUGCAUAUUUUUGUUACCUAUUACAUAAUAAGUGUAUUUAUUUUAUAGGCAAAACAUUUUAAGGCACUGAAGUUAUGACAGUGAGGAGAUAAUAUAAGGAGCCCUUAAUAAAGCAAAGUUGAAAUGAACUACAUUCUUAGUAGGUAAAUGUUUCCUAAAGUCCCUUUAUAGGUCAGAAUUGGUGAACUUACUUAUAUUCCUAUGAUCAAUACUGUACACACAGUAUGGUAUUUGUGUAUUAAAUACUAUUUUCUGUGUCUACAACACUAUGUGAAAAAUAAUAUAAUUUCGUUAGAGAAAGAAGAAUCCAGGAAAGUGGUAUGGUAUACUGGGUUAGAAUACGAUUUCAAAUCCUCACUAUGAUCACUCUGCUCACUUAGUAUCUAAUGUUGGGGUGAGUUUCUUUUCUUGAUUUCACCCUAUCUUUCUUUUGUUGUUUCAUUGUUAGGGAUUAAAACCCCAAGCCUCAUACAUGGUGGGCAAGUACUCUAUCACUAAACUCCAUCCCCAGCCCAGUGUGAAUUUCUUCAGGACCAUCUUCAGAUUUCUUUGCAGUUCUACUAGUAACAAUAGUAAACAAUUACUAAUAUUUAUUUGUAUGACAUUCAUUGUUUUAAGCACUUUGAAUUUAACACCUCUUACUCCUCACAUCAGCUCUCUGAGAUAGACAAUUACAUGAUCACCAUCUGAGAGAUGAAGCAGUCCAGUCAAAGUCAAACAGCCAACAAGUGGGUGAGCCAGGUUACCUAAGUAUUCUAGCUCUAGAGAAAAGACUCUUAACCAGAUCAUUGCCAUCUUGUCAGAACUAUGUAAUCAAUGUAUGUAAAACACUAUGCCUGGCCUUUUAAUAGUGAUUAGUAUUUUCUGAUUAAUAUAUCAUGUAAAAAUCACAGAGAUUAUCAACUUUGUGAAUUUUGUUGGCAAUAUUGUAAAAUACCAAAGUGUAAA